rnacentral:rRNA from 1 species
UACAGAGGGGGCCAGCGUUAUUCGGAAUUAUUGGGCGUAAAGGGCGCGUAGGCGGCCAUGCGUGUCUUCCGUGAAAUCCCUCGGCUCAACCGAGGACGUGCGGAAGAAACUGCAAGGCUCGAGUCCGGAAGAGGGGGGCGGAAUUCCCAGUGUAGCGGUGAAAUGCGUAGAUAUUGGGAGGAACACCAGUGGCGAAGGCGGUCCCCUGGGCCGGAACUGACGCUGAGACGCGAAAGCGUGGGGAGCGAACAGG